ensembl:lncRNA
GGUGGCUGGCAGCAGAGAGUCAAGGCCGUCCGGGGAGCUGGGAGCCCCCAGGGACAACCCGCCAUGCCAGGGGAGCAUUCUGGAGAGCUAGGAGCCUGAGCCCAAGACUCUGCCCAGAUGACCUCCAUUAUGACACAGCUGCUACCAGGCCUUCACAGCCUAAAACAUCACAGAGUGCCUGCAGGUGGCCGGAGAGCAAUGCUGAGCCCUGCCCUCUCCUGCAACUUGGACUUGGAGACCACAGGGAAGGAGACUUCAGGGUCUUGAGGACUGGGAGGAGCCACAGCCCAGGAGGAGGGCACAUCUGAGCCCCGGGAAUGAGCCCACACCCAGGGCGGCCCCCACUGGAGCCCAUAGCCCAUCCUGCCUCCUACAUGCUAGUGGGUGGGGUACCAGAAGGCCCCUGGCUCAGCCCCAUAUCUGCUCCAGCCAGGGUCAGGGGCUGAGGUGUGCCCCCGGGAAAGGGCCUGCCUCUGCCCCACAGUGGGGAUGGGAAGUGGGUGCCCAGCAGGCCCUCCUGAGAGUGAAUGCAGGAGGGUGGAAGGAUGGACUUUAAGCUUGUCCAGGUGCACUUCUGCUGGAGCAGUGGCCAAGAGCAGGCUGGAACCAUGAGGGGGAGGCAGGAGCUGCGACAGGCCCUGGGUUGGGCCCCCAGAAUGGCUGGAGCGUUGCAUCCUCUCAACAGUGUGUGAGGUGGAUGCCACUGUCUGCAUUCUGCUCGUAAGAAGGCCGAGGCACAUAGAGGAAAGCUGAGCACAAGCAAAGCCACUCCCCAGUCUGAUUCCCAUGAUCUACAAAUGGCAAUGCCACAGGGGCCUGCAGGAAAGGGGGUGGCCUCCCAUCACAGGUUUUGCAAGUGUUGGAUGUAUAAUUUAGAGAUGAGGCGGCAACACAACGAUACAGCUGCCGUCUGUUCAUAAAAUAAACAGCAGAUGCCCAGUGGCUAGUCACCCACAGACUCUCAAAGAAGUGGCAUGACUGGCCACAGACCAUGAUGUGCACCUGCUCUUUGAGUAGUGGUUUGCAGACUGAAGACCGAGUAGGGAAGUUUGUGUUCUACACAGGUGCAACCAUGGUAACUAAAAAUUGAACCAUGUUAUUGUGAAAUUGCAUUAUCUGUCUAAAUUAUGGUAAUUGAGAUUUAUGCAUAUUGGAACCAUGUAAAAUGAAGCUUGCUUGUGUAGAUACUGGUUCUUUUUCACUGCUGUAUACUACUCCGCCGUGUGACUGUGUCUCUAUUUGUUCCUCCUCCUGUUGAUGGAUACUUGGGUUGUUUCCAGUUUGCCUCUAUUAUGAAUAAAGCUGCUAUGAAUUUCAUUGUACCUGUCUCUGAGAACAUAUGCACUCAUUUUGGUUGGUUAAAGCUUUUUCUAUCCAAUUAUUUCAUGUGACGCCAGGCAAGUCCCCAUCCUCACAGAGCUGGGGCAUCUGAGCCACACCUGUAAAGAGAGAGGGUUCACAGGGUGGUAAUUGGACUGAUGUGGGAG